GUCACAUACAGAGGAGUGGAGAUGCUUUUUGCCUUAAAGCAUCUUAACCGCAUCUGGAGGAUACUGAAGAGAAGUGCUGCUGCUUCCCUCCGGCUGGCAGUAUGGCGUGCUGGUGAACAAGUUCAGCCACUGUAUAGCAUUGGAACAACGUCUUCAAUCACAGGGAUAUUGGAAUUUUGUAGGAGAUGCGUUACCAUUUUCCCAGCAUUCAUUACGAUGUUACAUCAGCAGGACCCAGAACUGGUUCCCAAGACUAUUACAUCAUGCUGAAAGGUUAAAGGAAUAUUACUUACUGAAUGCGGCCUUUUUACUGCCUGUCCUUGCAUUAGGUGUCCAAGAUGGAGAGUGUGUGUUAGAUAUGUGUGCUGCUCCUGGAGGAAAAUCUGUGGCAAUAUUGCAGUCUGCCACUCCACGUCACUUUCUUUGCAAUGAGCAGGACAAUUUGCGUCAGAAGUGGCUGAAGCAAACCCUUGAGUCUUUUGUACCUGAUGCCAUAGGGGGGGUAAUAUCUGUGACGAACCUGGAUGGAAGAGUC